CCGACAGCGACAAUAUUAUAACUUCUCUUUCCCUGCCACAACAUUACAUGAAUGGUCAAUAUAGUCAUGGUGGUGGGCUCAUUCUAUCUACAUGAAAUGUUUGGGUUUACACUAUCGAAAUUAGCUCUUUUCCCUAAUUUUUAUGGAUUUUGGUAUUGGAAUUGAGUUUUGUCCUAAUAUUGAUCUAAGCACAAUACAGAAUCUGUUAAAAUUAGUAAUGGGUAUUUGACAGACAUCUCAUUACUAUGUCCCAAAAAGCAAGCAGUUAAAGAUUCAACCUUUCAUUAAGUAGAUAAUUUAAUUUUGUGCCAGAAAAUUCAGUUUGGUAAUUAAAGGACCUGAACUGACAUUUAAAGAAAAGAAAUGGGCUACUUUGCAUUGACUGAUGGAGGCCAGGCAUAUGUCACACUCGUAACUUUUUGAGGCAUAACUCAGCUUGCCUACAUGUGGGGUAAAUGACAGUAAUUCUGUGUUUGGAUUCUGAGAAAGCAGCACUUAGCCAAAGCUUAGCUGCUUCUGGAUCCUAAAAAGUAAUUAUUAAAGAGAAAAUACUUGAAAGAAAGAAACUACCUUUUUUUUUUUUUUUUUUUCCAAGUCCUUGAGAAUCUUCUUAGAAAUUUGUGCUUUUGAUUACGUUACUUCUUUUUCCAGCAAUUUUUUUUGCAGUGAUGGCUUUUCUCAUGCAUCUAAGCAAUAAUGUGAGUACUCUGGUAUGUAUUAAUCCGUGAAUGGAAUUUCUGAAUCCAUUGACUCUGGUCAGUAUCAUCAACACUCAGUUUUUCUUUUAAAUAUAAUACGUAACGAUAGUGAAAACCCUAACACUGUAGUAAUUAAAUAAGUGAAGUGAUUUACUGUGUAAAAUUACCUUGUUUUGUAAUAUUGAAAACAUGGUUGGAGUUGAUUGAAAAGGACAAUCACUUGCUGGAGGAAAGGAAAGGAGACACGACACAGAAGGAAAGAGAUUGAAGGAACUACUCAAAUUGAAAAUAAAAGGUAAAACAGCACAAUAGUAAUUAACCAAAACAUCAGAGAGGACAGCACAGGCAUGAGAUUGGGUGGAUAGUAAGAGUGGGAAGCAUGCUCGCUGGCACUAUUUGGAUGUUCUUCCUUUUUUGGAUGUGCCCUGCAUAAUUCAUUCCUGUAAAAUAAAGUUGCUGAUAGAAAAUCUGUAGGGAGGUAAAACCCAUUUGGCUGUUCUUUUCUUCUCCUUUAGCAUCCAACAAUGACAACGAAAUUUUUAUAUAUUACUCGAACCUGGCUCUAAUUGGCUGGAUACAAUAAAGACUCGAUCUGGUUCGUAAAAGCUGGUUUAUUGGGUCCGAAUGCACAUGACAAUCCGUCCGGCCCAAGACCAUCAGGCUUAGCCUGGACCGGACAGUAGAAUAAAAAGCCAAAAUUAAAAUCCUUGCAAUAGAGAUCCUGUUUCAUGUGGGACUUGGGCUUAGGAUUGCGAGAAGAUUUUUGGGCAUUUGAAUCAGAAUUUUGUGUUGUGUUAUGUGUCAAUUGGAAUAAAAGUUCUGAGUUUGUUUUCUUU